rnacentral:rRNA from 1 species
CUACGCACUCCUACGGGAGGCAGCAGUGGGGAAUAUUGCACAAUGGGCGCAAGCCUGAUGCAGCCAUGCCGCGUGUAUGAAGUAAGGCCUUCGGGUUGUAAAGUACUUUCAGCAGUGAGGAAGGUGGGUAUGUUAAUAGCAUAUUCAUUUGACGUUAGCUGCAGAAGAAGCACCGGCUAACUCCGUGCCAGCAGCCGCGGUAAUACGGAGGGUUGCGAGCGUUAAUCGGAAUUACUGGGCGUAAAGCGCAUGCAGGUGGUUUGUUAAGUCAGAUGUGAAAGCCCGGGGCUCAACCUCGGAAUUGCAUUUGAAACUGGCAAACUAGAGUACUGUAGAGGGGGUAGAAUUUCAGGUGUAGCGGUGAAAUGCGUAGAGAUCUGAAGGAAUACCGGUGGCGAAGGCGGCCCCCUGGACAGAUACUGACACUCAGAUGCGAAAGCGUGGGGAGCAAACAGGAUUAGAUACCCUGGUAG